UGAUUCAGUGUCUGAAGAACACCUGUCAAACCGAACCUCGUUCGCGCGCGCGAAAUAAACAAGUGAAAACAAAACACCAAAGAGCAGCGGUGAACAUUGCUUAAAUUGUUAAUAUUCUUGGCUGACAUGCCGGAGUGUUCCAACUGGAAAUUCCAGCUUGAUGGCCGGUCUGGUGCCGUACUGAGACGUGCCGUAGACAGCCACCUUUCUGAGCGUUCGUCAGUCAUCGAUUUGCUGCCAGCUAGAAUUUUCCUCGACCCAUACCUACUUCAUUUUCGAAGGUGCUCCACAACUAGCCUCUGGGUGUGCUCUGGGUCUAUUCUGCUGCGAAGUUCUGAUGGAUUCGUACAGUAAAUUACCGUUCUCGUUGUGAAAACGAUUCUACUAGUAAAACGAAAACAUUAGGUUAGAUGAUGUUGGUGUCGACGGUCUGCCACGAUUUGGCAGCGUAUUUUUCGUGUAAAGCUGCCGCGAAAAGAACAAGCUCCGGAAUUAGCGUUUUGAUUUGGAGACGCAGAAGUAGGUACGUGACAAAAUUCUAAGACCCCAACGCACCGAAAUGUUUUGUCGGCGUUUCUCUUGUUCUGCAACGGUGAAUGGAACAAGUUGCAGGGCAAGGCGCAGUACGAACAGGUGGUCAAGCUGAAAUAGGAAAACGAAUAGACCGGUGGAAUCUCAAUCAACUCGCUGUAAACCAGCACGUAGCAUGCGGUAGUGACCCAACAGGAGAUGGAGAAACAGCUGACCAGGGAAUCGAACGUAGUUUGCGACGAAAAAGGCACUUCUGCUAAUCAUGGAGCAGCUUCUUCACCGGUCUCAUUUAUCAAAUGCUUUGUAAUAUUUCUUUCUGUUUUUAUGUAAUAUUAAUAAAAAAAAAUGCGGUGGGUGGGGGUGAGGUGUUUUGUUGGGCUCUAUAAAGUCAUCCGAAAUUACAUAGGCUGGGGCUACUAGUUGUAUGAAUAACUACAUCUGCCCAUAAUCGCAUAUCAGUAACAAUCGACAAAAAUAGGCAAAUUACCAUUUUCGCUUGCAUGUGAAUAAACCGAAAUUAAAAAAAAAACAAACUCCAAAUCAAUCGUUUAGCGAUAAAAUUAUCUACAGCACUUUUUGUAUGCUGAACCAAUAGCCAGAAAAUAAAUAAAACCUUAAUAAAAUUGAUUGCACGCUUUAAAGUCGGGCUAUUUUUUUCAGUGUGACUGUUAUGCAAUUACAUGCAUUCAACAUUGAGACAAAAUGACUUAUUUCAAAUAUCCUUGAACAAACUUUAAAAUUUUAUUAGGGUAAUUGAAAGUAGGUACUUCUGUUUCGUUGA